UUAGAGAAAAUUGCAACUUUUGGCCCAAAGGUUUGAAUAAUUAAAUUCAAACCUAUAGUUUUUUUUUAAUAUAAUUUUGGGACUCACAAUCCCAUUUUUAUAUUAUUUUUCUCUCUUCCUCUCACGUUGCUCGGCGUUUUCUCGCAAGGGGGGAUUAUUUUCUUUUUCUUCAGAUUAUAUUGACAAAGAUAGUGGUGAAAAAGGAGUUGUGAAGGGGAACUUGUUAUUCAAGACACAAGGAGCGAAUCCGGCCGAGAAAGCACCAGAGGUGUAAUUAUGGUGUAUGAGACACCAUCUUUUACGUUGCCUCUUAUUUUGGAUUAUACAAUGUAUCUUGUGCCAACUUAGGACAUAUCUUGUCUAUGGAGCAUGUAAAC